UUCAGUUCGUAACUGUUAUUUCAGUGGAAGAUCGUGUUAUUCAUAAGCUAAAAAUGAAUUCGAAAGUGUGCUUUGCUGUCAUUCUACUUCUUGGCAUUGCUUUGCGCAAUAGCAGUGUCGAGGCAGUCAGCCAGUCAAUCAGUGAGAACUCUGGUUUAGCUGCUACUUCUGAACGAAUGAGAGUUCGACGUAGUGCUCGUUUACCUUGCGAAAACAGUAGAUGCACAUUCGCUUGCAUGGGUGCAGGCUCAAGUGGUGGUAGCUGUGUGAAUGAUAAUCUUUGCUGGUGCUUUAAUGGCAAUUGUGAUCAGGGAAAAUGUUUUUCUUCUUGCAUGAGUCAGUAUUUGAUUCGAUUUGAUUGCUCAGUUCGGAAAAUGGAAAAGAAUUUUCGUGAAUCAUUGCUGCUAUAACAAUCACUGCAGGCAACAGUCCAUGCUAGCGAUCGAAGCAUAAAUAAAUCAAAAAUUAGUCGAGCCAAAA